rnacentral:rRNA from 1 species
UACGUAGGGUGCGAGCGUUACUCGGAAUUACUGGGCGUAAAGCGUGCGCAGGCGGCGCGUUAAGACAGGUGUGAAAGCCCCGAGCUUAACCUAGGAAUUGCGCUUGAGACUGGAUAGCUUGGAGUGCGGCAGAGGGAGGUGGAAUUCCACGUGUAGCAGUGAAAUGCGUAGAGAUGUGGAGGAACACCGAUGGCGAAGGCAGCCUCCUGGGCCAGCACUGACGCUCAUGCACGAAAGCGUGGGGAGCAAACAGG